rnacentral:rRNA from 1 species
CCUACGGGUGGCUGUAGUGGGGAAUAUUGCACAAUGGGGGGAACCUUGAUGCAGCAACGCCGCGUGGGUGAAGACGUACUCCGGUAUGUAAAGCCCUUUCAGCAGGGAAGAAAAUGACGGUACCUGACCCAGAAGCCCCGGCUAACGACGUGCCAGCAUCCGCUGUAAUCCGUAGGGGGCAAGCGUUAUCCGGAUUUACUGGGUGUAAAGGGAGCGUAGACGGCAAGGUAAGGCUGGAGUGAAAGCCCGUGACCCAACCACGGGACUGCUUUGGAAACUGUGUUGCUGGAGUGAAGGAGGGGUAAGCGGAAUGCGUAGUGUAGCGGUGAAAUGCGUAGAUAUUAGGAGGAACACCGGUGGCGAAGGCGGCUUACUGGACUGUAACUGACGUUGAGGCACGAAGGCGUGGGGAGCAAACAGGAUUAGAUACCCGUGUAGUC